CAAAUUAAAGCUUAAAUAGAGAAGUUUUUCAUUUACAUUGAAAGGAAAUUGUGCAAAUCAAUAUAAUUUGA
rnacentral:tRNA from 2 species